CGCCGCCUCGCAACAGGUCCGGGCGGCCUCGCUCUCCGCUCCCCUCCCCCGCAUCCGCGACCCCCGAGGCGCCUCCGCUCGGCCGGGGCCGCAGUCUGGCCACCCGCUUCCAUGCGGUUCGGGUCCAAGAUGAUGCCGAUGUUUCUUACCGUGUAUCUCAGUAACAAUGAGCAGCACUUCACAGAAGUUCCAGUUACUCCAGAAACAAUAUGCAGAGACGUGGUGGAUCUGUGCAAAGAACCCGGCGAGAGUGAUUGCCAUUUGGCUGAAGUGUGGUGUGGCUCUGAACGUCCAGUUGCGGAUAAUGAGCGAAUGUUUGAUGUUCUUCAACGAUUUGGAAGUCAGAGGAACGAAGUUCGCUUCUUCCUUCGUCAUGAACGCCCCCCUGGCAGGGACAUUGGUAGGUAGUGCUCUGUGAAUUGUGACAGAUAUUUAAGCUUUUAUUUUGUGCUGGGAGUAGUAGG
rnacentral:sRNA from 1 species